rnacentral:misc_RNA from 1 species
AAAGAAACAAAAACAGCAUUAUAACGAUCAUGACUGAGAAGUCCUUAAUGACUGCUCUUGGGCUAUUGCAGCUAUGAUUACAUCUAUUGCUGCAAUUUAAAGUUAUGUUGGAAACCUAACAAUAAAUUGUGAGGUCUUAUUUCUAGCCUAAAAUGCUUUCUAGCAAAAAUGAUAUGCAAAACCUUUUAGGUUUCAAGCUAGUCAGUAGAUCUGUACUUUGUUAAACAUCUUACAGUUAUUGUCUUUUGUUUCAGUACCAACAAGCUUUCUUUUUUUGUUUCAUCUCCAUCAUGUCCCACUCUGAAAUUGUAAGUUUAUCAAUGUCAACCACUACUUUUUUCCAAGAACAACUGCAAAUUCGACUAGUUCUAUAGGAAUUCAAGCACCAUGCAUUAUUUCCCCUUAGGUGGUGGCUAUCCACUAACAAUGUCAUUGCCUUGACAAAUAAUGUGAUAACCUCUGUCUAUAUCCAUCACAACCACUACAGCCAUUGACCUAGUCACUAUUAUUGUAACCACAACCAAAGUCCACACCACGACCACCAUCUCUAGUCAUUACAACCACAAUUAUUACAAAAAAUUUCAUUGUAGUCCCUUAUAUCUACAUUUCAAAGGCAAAUUCAUAGUUUGUUGAUCCUUUCAUUGUUGCACAUCUAAUAUCCCUUUUUUUUGGCAAGUGCUCAAAUAAUUUUAAAAGCAAGAGCCACCAAGUAUGCACAGAAUUUUACAUAAUAAGAGUCUGAAGGAGAGAGGCUGAAAAACAAAGCAAAAUCCACUUUGCAUAUUUAAUUAAAAAAG